AACCAGUAUGUAUCUAAAUCUGACAACCCCAGCUUUUACCUUUACGUCUUAUAGAAUAAAAGGUUUGCUGCUUUCUAUUUUGAUUAACUAUACAUUUUUUCUUAAAUUGAAAGACAAGGCCAGGAAAUUGUUAGAUGUAAGGUCCUAGAACACCAAGGAAACAAACACUUGUUUUUCAAAGCUGCAUCAUAUUAAAUGGUUAUUUCUUGAAAGCAUUGAUGGAUGCACACAUGAAUUAUGCAGUUCUGCAUGAGUGUACCCGGUGCUUGCAUUAAUACCAUUAAAACAAAGCUACUGUAGCAUUACAGGAUGGCAGGGUCUGUGCAGGCUCCAGAUUGAACAUAAUCGCUGCAACAUGCAGCUGCUUGAAACCGAUUCCCUGGUUCUUUGGAAAAUGAGAUUAAAACUAUCCAUGUGAAUAGAACCAUGAAUGGUUACUGUGUUGGAAAAUGUAAUUUAAAACAAAGUAUUGCCUUAAUUUCUAGAAAGUGCAUACCCUGUAACAGUACUGACUUCAAGUAGAAUAGAUCUUGCUGUAAAUUUACUGUGCUUUAUGCUGCUAAUAUCUGGAAGUUUCCAACCUCAAUGGACUUUCUUAAAAGGUGUUUUCAAAGAAAUUCAGCUGUAAUUUUCACAUCAUUGCCCGCUCUGUCAAAGCUACUAUUCAUAACAUGGAUAAUGUAUUUAAAUUCUUAAUACCUGUUGCUUAAAGGGUCUCUAAAAGGAACAGUCCCAACAUUUCUCUCUGAGUGAAAAUGUUCUCAUUUUUCUGUUUAACCUAAGAAGGGCUUUGUCACAUUGUGCCAUUCAUCACACUCUUUUAAUUCCUCAAUAAGCAUUCAGUUCCAGUAGCAUGAUAUAAUUGCGGCUGGUGCCCUAAUUUUCACUUUAAACACACCCUGGUUUCUUGGUAAUAAUUAAGCAAAGAAAAUCGAUGCCAAGAGGAAAGGGACAUUGCACUGUGGUCAGGCUGGAAUUGGCAGUCUCAGUUAAAUUGUUCAUAUGGCACAUUCAAACAGAACAAAAUGUCAGCCGUAUUAAAUCUGAAGCACUGCCACUGAGUUGAAUGUUUUUCAAGAGUAAAAUUGCCAUCUUAAUGCGGUGACUUUGUUCCACUUUCAUGCAGCGGCGAGGCAGGAGUGAGUGACUUGUCGACAGGAGGCUGACUGCAGUCGUUCCAAGUAACUGGCAGAGGCUGGAACAACAUGAGCACUAGCUGUUUUUACCUGUCCACUUAUUUGCCAUCAGUACAGCUCCCUGUGUGCAGGAUGACAAGAUGAGGACGUUUGCCACCAUCCAGGAAAUUGCCCCCUGCUCUUGAAAAGACCCCUGGAAAUAAUUAGAUUUGAUGCUGUAAUAGCGAGGCUGUCAAAAAAGCUGUGUUGCAGUGAUGUUAUUUAUUUGUUCUGUGCCAACACCCUGUAAUGAUGACCUGUCACUCUUCUCUGUUUUGUGCUCUAUAUUUAUAUACGAUCAGGCUUCUUUUUCACUGUAUUUCUUUGAAUUUAUCACCCAUUUUUUGUGCCAUACCUGCAACUAAUGAAAAAAUAAAGGAAAGGAAUAUUUUA